AUGCCGUGAUGAGGGCACUUUCGUAAUAACUUCUUGAUUCACUCCCAUGCCUCAUGUAAAGAUUCUUCAUCAAGUUGCUGAAAUGAAGUGAUUUCAUUUCGGAUCUU
rfam:Gossypium hirsutum cultivar TM-1 unplaced genomic scaffold scaffold4453.1, whole genome shotgun sequence